CUCCUUGCGCAAACUCUUUCAUUCUCACGCAAAACAAUCUUCACUGUCUUCUCUCUCAAGAACCCUCUCGACAUCGCUCGACCUGAAUGAAAAAGGGGAAAAACAUGAUUAGGGUUUCUGUGUCUAGUACAGUUUUCUCGUGAUUUUCCCCCUUUUCUCGCAACUCUACAUCGAUUAGGGUUUUGGCAUCUUGCGGGACUUGCAAAAGUUUUACCUCUUCGUGACUUGGUGAGCUUGUGGAGAGGCAACUAGAGCAAUUCCAAACCGAUUGUGAUGGUGAUGAACAAAAGGAAAAGCCUUCUGCUUCAGGAACUGACUUAGUUUUGUACAGGAGCGAUUCCUAAAAAGAAGACAACAUCUUGUGGAUCCCAAUUCUUCCACCUUGAAGAUGAAUGCAAUGUCCAUUUUGUGAUUUUUCAAAUACUUGUUACAAUGAGAGAUCUGAUG